AGUCUUCGAACCGACACAAUCUAGAAGGAUUCCAUUUCCAAGUAAUUUCCAGAAACGAUGAAAUCCAUUCUUAUCCUCGUGGCUUCCUUGGUUGUAUUAGUUGGGGCAGCGCCCCAAUUACCAACCUCCCCACCCACACCCGCGACCUAGAUAGGUCGCGAGUACCCUUUCCUCCCUCACCGACUCCUUAAACCAGCUCUCCGCUUAUUUAACCAAUCUAUUGACGAAAGCUUCCCCAGAGGUGUCCUCGGCCCUGAAAUCGGUGGAGCAGGUGCAGGAGGCGGUCAGAACUCUCAUCCUCAGCACGCUCGACAGUCCACUUAUAAAGCAGCAACUUGACCGGGCCAGUGAAAACCUGAGGAACCUGCUAAAUCGAGUGACAAAUAACGUGCUUCCUGAGGAAAGUCAGAACGUGCGUGAUGCCAUUAUUGAAAUCCAGAAUUCUUUGACCCAGAUUAAAAACGAUCUGCUCAACUCUAUUCCCACGACCACGACGGCUCCAAUAAAUUUGUUUGCUAUUUCGAACGUCAUACAGGUAGCGUCAGGUUAACGCAUACUUUAAAUACCUUGAUUUACUAGCUUACAUAUUUAGUUUGGAAUUUUCUUAUUUUAUCCAAAAUGUAAUUUAAAGGGCGGACAGAAAUCUGAAAAAAAAUCCGACAGUCAAAUUUAUUGGUAUUUGUUAUCGGGUAAUAUGUUUAAGCAAUUAAUAAAUUGGUGGAUAACAUUACACAGAUACGAAUCCGUAUUAUGUAUUCAUAUGUAUGUACUGUAUAAACACAUUAAUCAAGCAGUGUUAUACACAUUCAUAUGUAUUUAAAGAUCUUGUUUAAGUCGAUUCAUAAAUAGAUGUAUGUA